AGAGCAGAGCAUGUUGAGGUCAGCCAGUGGGGGAGUAAUGUUGUGUGGUGGAGCUCCUGUUCCAGGAAUAUCUUAGAGGUUCCCCAGCUGGACAGCAGUUGCUCUGCCAGAUCCUGCUGAUCACAUCUUCUUGUCUCCUGAUCCCAGCAUGCUGGUCCUGGAUACUUGGGAAGCUAAACACAGCUGGCUUAUCUAGUCUAGGAUGUUGUCUGGUCUGAGGAACCAGUGACUGCUGUAAGAUGAAUGGAUCAGCCAGGUCUAUGAUCGCACCGCUAUUUCCAGCUGCUUCCUCAAUGAUACAUGAGCCUAGAAGAGAAAGUGGAAGAAGAGUGGUUUUUACUAUUGCAGGAUAUGCCCAGACGGCUAAGGGCACUGAUGCCUCCCUCAUUUAUUUAAAGGUCAGGCUAUCACCUCAUAUAUGCUAGAGCCCUGUUCUCAAGAAAACGUUUUUCAAAUGCACCCACUUAGUAUGAGAAUCCCAUGUGAGAGGCAAUGAAGAAGUAUACAGAU